UACGUAGGUGGCAAGCGUUGUCCGGAUUUACUGGGCGUUAAGAGCGCGCAGGCGGUCGUUCAAGUCGAGUGUGAAAGCCCCCGGCUCAACUGGGGAGGGUCACUCGAUACUGAUCGACUCGAAGGCAGGAGAGGGAAGUGGAAUUCCCGGUGUAGUGGUGAAAUGCGUAGAUAUCGGGAGGAACACCAGUGGCGAAGGCGACUUUCUGGCCUGUUCUUGACGCUGAGGCGCGAAAGCUAGGGUAGCAAACGGG
rnacentral:rRNA from 1 species